rnacentral:rRNA from 1 species
GUCGAGAAUCUUUCACAAUGGGGGCAACCCUGAUGGAGCGACGCCGCGUGGAGGAUAAGGUCUUCGGAUUGUAAACUCCUGUCAUGCGUGAACAAGGUUGCUUGGUUAAUACCUGGGCAAAUUGAUGGUAACGCAAGAGGAAGAGACGGCUAACUCUGUGCCAGCAGCCGCGGUAAUACAGAGGUCUCAAGCGUUGUUCGGAAUCACUGGGCGUAAAGGGUGCGUAGGUGGCGUGGUAAGUCAGAUGUGAAAGCACGGUGCUCAACCUCGGAACUUCAUCCGAUACUGCCAUGCUAGAGUACUGGAGAGGUGACUAGAAUUCUCGGUGUAGCAGUGAAAUGCGUAGAUAUCGAGAGGAAUACCAAAGGCGUAGGCAGGUCACUGGACAGUUACUGACACUGAGGCACGAAGGCCAGGGGAGCGAACGGGAUUAGAAACCCCAGUAGUCC